AGCUUUGCACAGUGGCAGUAUCAUAGCCAAUGAGGUUUAUCUGAGGUGUGAUUAUUGCUAAUUGAAAACUAAAAAACAAUACUUCAAACUAAAAAUAGAAAGAAACUUCCCCUUAAUGCAAGAAG
rnacentral:snRNA from 1 species